rnacentral:rRNA from 1 species
AUAUCAAUAAGCGGAGGAAAAGAAACCAACAGGGAUUGCCCUAGUAACGGCGAGUGAAGCGGCAACAGCUCAAAUUUGAAAUCUGGCUCUCGGGCCCGAGUUGUAAUUUGUAGAGGAUACUUUUGAUGCGGUGCCUUCCGAGUUCCCUGGAACGGGACGCCAUAGAGGGUGAGAGCCCCGUCUGGUUGGAUGCCAAAUCUCUGUAAAGUUCCUUCAACGAGUCGAGUAGUUUGGGAAUGCUGCUCUAAAUGGGAGGUAUAUGUCUUCUAAAGCUAAAUACCGGCCAGAGACCGAUAGCGCACAAGUAGAGUGAUCGAAAGAUGAAAAGCACUUUGAAAAGAGAGUUAAAAAGUACGUGAAAUUGUUGAAAGGGAAGCGUUUAUGACCAGACUUGGGCUUGGUUAAUCAUCUGGGGUUCUCCCCAGUGCACUUUUCCAGUCCAGGCCAGCAUCAGUUUUCCCCGGGGGAUAAAGGCGGCGGGAAUGUGGCUCUCUUCGGGGAGUGUUAUAGCCCACCGUGUAAUACCCUGGGGGGGACUGAGGUUCGCGCAUCUGCAAGGAUGCUGGCGUAAUGGUCAUCAACGACCCGU